rnacentral:rRNA from 1 species
UACGUAGGGUGCAAGCGUUGUCCGGAAUUAUUGGGCGUAAAGAGCUCGUAGGCGGUUUGUCGCGUCUGCUGUGAAAACUCGGGGCUUAACCCCGGGCCUGCAGUGGGUACGGGCAGACUAGAGUGCAGUAGGGGAGACUGGAAUUCCUGGUGUAGCGGUGAAAUGCGCAGAUAUCAGGAGGAACACCGAUGGCGAAGGCAGGUCUCUGGGCAUUAACUGACGCUGAGGAGCGAAAGCAUGGGGAGCGAACAGG